GACGAACGCUGGCGGCGUGCCUAAUACAUGCAAGUCGAGCGCAGGAAGCUGACGGAACUCUUCGGAGAGAAGGCAGUGGAAUGAGCGGCGGACGGGUGAGUAACACGUAAGGAACCUGCCUCAAGGAUUGGGAUAACUCCGAGAAAUCGGAGCUAAUACCGGAUAGUUCAACGGACCGCAUGGUCCGCUGAUGAAAGGCGCUUCGGCGUCACCUUGAGAUGGCCUUGCGGUGCAAUAGCUAGUUGGUGGGGUAACGGCCCACCAAGGCGACGAUGCAUAGCCGACCUGAGAGGGUGAUCGGCCACACUGGGACUGAGACACGGCCCAGACUCCUACGGGAGGCAGCAGUAGGGAAUCUUUCACAAUGGACGAAAGUCUGAUGGAGCAACGCCGCGUGAGUGAUGAAGGUUUUCGGAUCGUAAAACUCUGUUGUAAGGGAAGAACACGUACGAGAGGGAAUGCUCGUACCUUGACGGUACCUUACGAGAAAGCCACGGCUAGCUACGUGCCAGCCGCCGCUGUAA
rnacentral:rRNA from 1 species